CUGAAUUCAUUCAUAAUCCUUUUGAUGAAAUGACGUUUAUAGAGAUACUUAAGCUUUAAAGUAUAAUAAUCUCCAACCCAAGGGCCAUGUAUAAUAUCCAAAUGUCACCGCUAUGUUAUUUCCUCUUUAUAUUAUUUUCACCUACGAAGGCAGUCUCUUAAAAAAGCCCUGCCCAUUUGGAAAUUGGGGUGGGCACAUUUCUAGACAGUCCCUAUAGCACUUAAUGAUUGCUAGCUUUUCCAUGAUCAUCUUGGGAAUUAAGAGUAAAUCCAUCCCCACUCCACAGACUUUGAGACGGGGUGCCCUGCACUACUCGUUUCCUCCCUCCAGAGGGCGCCACUUGGACAGAAGCCAGCAGCAGCAGCCCAGACAAAGAUGUACAACGCCCUAAACGUUACUGUUCUUGCAAGGAGAGGCCCCACGGAGAGCACGGAGAGGAGUGGGAGUUUGUGUGGGUGCACAGUCUGAGCGGUUACCAAAGAAGAAACACACUCCGAGCAAUGGUCCCAGCUGUUCGUUAGCAGCGCCUAGCCAGCAAAAUGCAGCUCUUUUAACGUCCUCUGC